UACAGAGGUCUCAACCGUUGUUCGGAUUCAUUGGGCGUAAAGGGUGCGUAGGCGGUCGCGCAAGUCGGAUGUGAAAUCUCCGGGGCUCAACCCCGAAACUGCAUUCGAUACUGCGUGGCUAGAGUGCUGGAGGGGAGACUGGAAUUUACGGUGUAGCAGUGAAAUGCGUAGAUAUCGUAAGGAAGACCAGUGGCGAAGGCGAGUCUCUGGACAGCAAUCUGACGCUGAGGCACGAAGGCCAGGGGAGCAAACGGG
rnacentral:rRNA from 1 species